AUGUAUUAAUUACUAUAAAAAUGUUAUCAACCCGAGAAGCUGCAUUACACGGCAACCGCCACAGCCGCAUUAACGGCGACGCCUUCACCGAUACCGCCGUUGCAUUUUCCGUUAAGAACAACGACGUCGUUUCUCUCUUUGGGUACGAGACUCUUCAUCAUCACUUCCAAAUCCCUCUUGUGCACGUUGACCAAAAGUCCGUUCUUCAUGAACAAAGUCAACGACAUCUUCUGCUCCACCUUGUGUCCCGGCGCCACCGUUAGUCUAUGCCUGAGUAAAACCGCCGCCGCGAUCGUCUUCAUCUGCAGAUACGCUAGAUCUUUUCCUAGACAGAUCCUAGGUCCGGCGUUAAACGCCACGAAUCGGUACUGAUCGUGAUUCACGAAUUUUCCAUCGUCCGGCGAGAUCCACCUCUCCGGUUUGAAUUCCAAGCAAUCCUCUCCCCACGUGCUCUUCAUCCUCCCCGCCGCGUAGAUCGAAUAAGUCACCGACGAUCCCGCCGGUACGAAAGUUCCGUCCGGUAAGAUAUCGUCGUUCACGACGUGCUUUGAAUCUUCCGGCACCGACGGGUAAAGCCUCAACGUCUCAGAGAGCGCGGCCUUCAGGUAAACCAACCGGUCGACCUCAUCGAAUUCCAACGGCUCCGCCGUCCACGACGAUACAUCGGUUCCACGUGUCUCAAUCAGAACGGAGCAUAUCUCGCGGACGAUCUUAUCCUCAACCGUCGGAUGCGUCGUGAUGAGCCAGAAAAACCAGCUCAACGCUACUGAUGACGUGUCACG